AUACGUAGGGGGCAAGCGUUAUCCGGAAUUAUUGGGCGUAAAGAGUGCGUAGGUGGUUAUGUAAGCGUGAGGUUUAAGGCAGUGGCUUAACCACUGUUCGCCUUGCGAACUGCAUAACUUGAGUGCAGGAGGGGAAAGCGGAAUUCCUAGUGUAGCGGUGAAAUGCGUAGAUAUUAGGAGGAACACCAGCGGCGAAGGCGGCUUUCUGGACUGCAACUGACACUGAGGCACGAAAGCGUGGGGAGCAAACAGGAUUAGAUACCCUGGUAGUCCACGCCGUAAACGAUGAGCACUAGGUGUCGGAUGAAUUUUCGGCGCUGCAGUUAACACAAUAAGUGCUCCGCCUGGGGAGUACGGUCGCAAGACUGAAACUCAAAUGAAUUGACGGGG
rnacentral:rRNA from 1 species